CCACAGUUCAUAUCAAUUUUUCUUUACUCGUUUUACUGCAACAUAAGAACCGAAAUUUUAGGCAGUGAUAAUUUUUACAAAAACCGAAAUUUUUUAGUGAAAUAUUUUCUAAGCUUUGAAAAUAAUCAUACCAUGGAUCCUCCUGGCUUUGCGGGGCUAUCGAUGCAUUGAUGCGCAGCUCCUACCAGGAAAACUAGCAAGACUGCGGACUAUCCUCCGGGUGAUCGCCUGGUUCUGCGAGUUGGAUCUGUCGAUGGGUUCCAUGGGCUGUGGUUGUUCCCGUUGCUGCCGAGGGGCUCCUGUCCGUUGCUGAUUCUCGAGUGGUGCGUUCGGCGAGUGACCAUUCGCGCCGUUGCAAAUUGACUUGCGUUGAGACCUCCAAGGGCACGCGUUUAGGGUCACUAUGUUUUGCAUACCUGUGCCCGAAAUCUGAUUGCUUACGAGAUUCUCUGGUGUAUCCGACCUUCAGAUGCCAGCAGAAGUAUACUAUCUUGGAGCACUGUUGUGAUAUUGGAUCCUUGCCUUCCUCGUUGAUGUACAACUCUACAAUCUCGUUUGGACAGAAGUCCGUUGGGAUCCUCACAGCGAUCCACAGUGCGAUUAACGACACCCCACCUAUCAGUCACCAAUUCCGGGUUCUGCUUUUCCAUCAGUGCAAAAAUGCAAAAUGACAAAGCAGAACCCGGAUCUGGUGACAGACAGGUGGAGUGUCGUUAAUCGCCCUGUGGAUCCCUGUGAGGAUCCCAACGGACUUCUGUUCAAACAUCGAAGAAGACCGAAGAAUGUGAUGAAGGGCAGAACAGAACAACAGAAUGGCGAAACCCGCUAGACUAGCGGGUUUUGUCAAUUUCUAUUGUAUUGGGACGAAUGAAUAAAUUUAAGAUAGUGUAGUGACUCGAA